rnacentral:rRNA from 1 species
AUUGAACGCUGGCGGCAGGCCUAACACAUGCAAGUCGAACGGGUGGCGGACGGGUGAGUAAUGUCUGGGAAACUGCCUGAUGGAGGGGGAUAACUACUGGAAACGGUAGCUACUACCGCAUACCCUCAGAUGUGCCCAGAGGGGAUUAGCUAGUUGGUGGGGUAACGGCUCACCAAGGCGACGAUCCCUAGCUGGUCUGAGAGGGUGACCAGCCACACUGGAACUGAGACACGGUCCAGACUCCUACGGGAGGCAGCAGUGGGGAAUAUUGCGCAAUGGGCGCAAGCCUGAUGCAGCCAUGCCGCGUGUAUGAAGAAGGCCUUCGGGUUGUAAAGUACUUUCAGCGGGGAGGCGUUACCCGCAGAAGAAGCACCGGCUAACUCCGUGCCAGCCGCCGCGGUAAUAC